GCCGGUGUGGUGGAAUUGGCAGACGCGCCGGACUCAAAAUCCGGUGGGGGCAACUCCGUGUGGGUUCGACUCCCACCACCGGCA
rfam:Nitrospirae bacterium CG2_30_41_42 cg2_3.0_scaffold_1230_c, whole genome shotgun sequence.